rnacentral:lncRNA from 1 species
GGAAAAUUGGAAAGUCACAUGCAGAAGAAUAAGACUAGACCCUGUCUCCACCAUAUACACAAAUCAACUCAAAAUGGAUUAAAGACUGUCUUCUAUAGCUGCUGUACUAAUUUGUAAUUCCACCAAAAAUGUGCAAGUGUUGUCUUUUCUCCACAUCCUUGCCAACAGUUGUUUUUUUUGUUUUGUUUUGUUUUUUAAGACAGAGACAGAGUCUCACUGUGUCACUCAGGCUGGAGUGCAGUGGUGCAAUCUCGGCUCAUUGCAACCUCUACUUCGGUGGCUGAGGAAGGAGAAUCGCUUGAGCCCAGGAGGUAGAGGUUGCAGUGAGCCAAGAUCGUGACACUACUCCAGCCUGGACGACAGAGCGAAACUCUGUCUGAAAAAAGUUCAGGUGGGAGGAUCCCUUGAGGACAGGAGUUUAAGACCAGCCUGGGCAAUGUAGCAAGACCUUGUCUCUUAAAAAAAAAAAAAAAAAGAAUGCAAAAGCCAUAGAACCUUUUCCUAGGAGAGAAUGCUAGGAGGAAGGAGGGAAACAGUAUAUUUUAAGGUAAAUAAGAAAGGCCUAAUGCCCCGUGGUUAGAUUUUUCUAUCUACAUAUUGGAGAUAAGUUUAAAUUUUGUGUUAGUGUUUGGGUAUUACUUCCUGCCAACGUGAAAAGUUAACCUUUCUAAGACAAUCUCUACUAAGAAUUUGGACUUUUUCAAGAUUUUUGCCUACUUCUUUCAAAGAGAUUGCAAAACGAUUUUAACUCACUAAAGAACAUUUUUCACCUCUUGAUUGUCCAGUACAAGUGUAGUACAGUUCUUUUUUUAUGUAUCCUCCCUUUGUUUUUAUAGACUGGAAGGUAUCCAGAAAUAAGGCAUUCAGAAAUGGAGGCACACAUAGAUGAAGGCAAAGGCCAUUCCUAUGAAGGCAGGUCUGUAGGCAGCUGGUUAUUUGUUUUUCUCAGCCUCUCUUGGCAUUCUACCUUCAUCUGGAAAAAAAUUUAAAAAGGAGGAUACUUUAUAGGUCCUGUCUCAAGUAUCUGACUUCCCUGGGAAGCUUGAUUCUCACAUUCAAAAUACAUGGGGAGUUUGGUUCAGUUAAAUUUUAUCACACCAGAAUUGUUGAAAAGCAAUAAAUUAUUACUGUAUAAUUGGUGCCUGUUUGUUAUCUUAGGUAUUGUUAUUUCUGUUUUUAACUUGUUUGGAAAACCAUAGACCAUAAACUUUUCUGAACGUUCGAUGCAGAGCUCCAACCGAACUAGCAAAGAACAUUUCCUCAAAGAAACGGAGUAUUUUUUUCUGUAACAAUGUAACUUUCUGUCUUUCAUUCUUCAAAAUGUAUCACUAUAAAUUUCCU